rnacentral:rRNA from 1 species
CGCAAGGGAAUGGUUGGAACCGGUUCAUAUUGCUAAUCGACUCUAGCUUGCUAGUAGUCUGAUAAGCCCUAUAGACAACCGCCCUAUCAACUUGAUGGUAAGGUUUUGGCUUACCAUGGUUGUAACGGGUAACGGGGAAUCAGGGUUCGAUUCCGGAGAGGACGCCUGAGAAACGGCGUCCACAUCUACGGGUGGCAGCAGGCGCGUAAAUUGCCCAAUCUCAACAGAGAGGAGGCGGUGACAAUAAAUCCCGAUGGCUUUGGGGGCAACCCCAGGCUAAUCAGAAUAAGUACACAUUAAAUCCCUUAACCAAUAUAAUUGGAGGGCAAGUCUGGUGCCAGCAGCCGCGGUAAUUCCAGCUCCAAUAGCAUAUACUAAUGUUGUUGCAGUUAAAACGCUCGUAGCUUAAUAUCUUUUGAGCUACUAUCGACUGUCAUCCUUUUAUGGAGCCGCAAGGUAAAGUAGGAGGACCAGUCGGCUCAAACACUGUAGGUCAUGCGGCUAGCAAUAGUUGCAUAAUCGACUGUGCAUAAACCUUGAUGCUCAAGGUAGGCCUUUAUAGGGUAGAUACACAGUGCAUGGCAUUGUGGAACAAGGCAUCUCGCGGCUUAGUUGGUGGGCCGCGGGGGCAAUGAUUAAUAGGGAGGAGCGGGGGCCUUCAUAUUGCAGGGCGAGAGGUGAAAUUCGUUGACCCUUGCAAGAUGUCCUACAGCGAAAGCAUUGGCCAAGUGCCUCCCCAUUAGUCAAGAACGAAAGUUUGGGGAUCAAAGACGAUCAGAUACCGUCGUAGUCCAAACCAUAAACUAUGUCGACCAGCGAUUAGGCGGGCUACCUUCUUCGAGAGCUGCCUAGCAGCUUGUGGGAAACCAUGAGUGCUUGGACUCUGGGGGGAGUAUGGUCGCAAGGCUGAAACUUAAAGGAAUUGACGGAAGGGCACACCAUGGAGUGGAGCCUGCGGCUUAAUUUGACUCAACACGGGAAAGCUUACCAAGCUCAGAUAUGAUUAGGAUUGACAGACUAAAAGAUCUUUCAUGAUCUCAUAAGUGGUGGUGCAUGGUCGUUCUUAGUUGGUGGAGUGAUUUGUCAGGUCAAUUCCGGUAACGGACGAGACCUCGACCUGCUAACUAGUGGGAUUCAUUCUUUCGAUUGACGAGGCAGGUAUUGCUUUGAUUAUGGGGGGCAACCUUCAUAGUCGGGUAGUGCUUG